CUACGGGAGGCAGCAGUGGGGAAUUUUGGACAAUGGGCGAAAGCCUGAUCCAGCAAUGCCGCGUGAGUGAAGAAGGCCUUCGGGUUGUAAAGCUCUUUUGUCAGGGAAGAAACGGUGAGAGCUAAUAUCUCUUGCUAAUGACGGUACCUGAAGAAUAAGCACCGGCUAACUACGUGCCAGCAGCCGCGGUAAUACGUAGGGUGCAAGCGUUAAUCGGAAUUACUGGGCGUAAAGCGUGCGCAGGCGGUUUUGUAAGUCUGAUGUGAAAUCCCCGGGCUCAACCUGGGAAUUGCAUUGGAGACUGCAAGGCUAGAAUCUGGCAGAGGGGGGUAGAAUUCCACGUGUAGCAGUGAAAUGCGUAGAUAUGUGGAGGAACACCGAUGGCGAAGGCAGCCCCCUGGGUCAAGAUUGACGCUCAUGCACGAAAGCGUGGGGAGCAAACAGGAUUAGAUACCCUGGUAGUCCACGCCCUAAACGAUGUCUACUAGUUGUCGGGUCUUAAUUGACUUGGUAACGCAGCUAACGCGUGAAGUGACCGCCUGGGGAUACGGUCGCAAGNUUAAAACGUCAAAGGAAUUGACGG
rnacentral:rRNA from 1 species